CCUACGGGUGGCAUCAGUGGGGAAUAUUGGGCAAUGGGCGCAAGCCUGACCCAGCAACGCCGCGUGAAGGAAGAAGGCUUUCGGGUUGUAAACUUCUUUUGUCAGGGACGAAGCAAGUGACGGUACCUGACGAAUAAGCCACGGCUAACUACGUGCCAGCAGCAGCGGUAAUACGUAGGUGGCAAGCGUUAUGCGGAUUUACUGGGUGUAAAGGGCGUGUAGGCGGGACUGCAAGUCAGAUGGGAAGACAACGGGCUCAACCUGUGGCCUGCAUUUGAAACUGUAGUUCUUGAGUACUGGAGAGGCAUACGGAAUUCCUGGUGUAGCGGUGAAAUGCGUAGAUAUUGGGAGGAACACCAGUGGCGAAGGCGGUCUGCUGGACAGCAACUGACGCUGAGGCGCGAAAGCGUGGGGAGCAAACAGGAUUAGAUACCCUAGUAGUC
rnacentral:rRNA from 1 species